CCAAAUACCAACUCAUUUCUGAUAGUCUAUGAUUUCUGUAUUCCAACAUGUUGAAUGCCUCAGGCAAAUAUAUUACUAUCCAUUAUUAUCACUAUUAUUACUAAUCAUCUUGCACGAGUCUCGGACCAGAGCUUGGUCUGCUCAUGCUCCAUUGGUAACGGAAACGAUUGCUUGUGCGGGCAUACAUUCAUGCAAUCAUCCUGAUUCUCCCAGCAAUGUCUACCAGGCCACAUUGUGGCGCAACACCAACAGGUGUGGCCAUGGCAGCUAUCCCUCAAGCACAAUAUGAAAUCAGGAUUUGAAUUGUCUUGCAUCUCUUCUAGCUGCUGGCCACCUGCUCUCUCAAUCAAUAACAAAAC
rnacentral:lncRNA from 1 species